GUUCCACAGGUUGACUCAUGGGUGUUGGAACAGUUUGUACAGUGGGGUUGCUGUGAGCCAUUGAAUCGAACUGUAAAUCCUGUAUGUGAUGGAAACCCCUUCAA